AGAAUGAACGUUGGCGGCGUGGAUUAGGCAUGCAAGUCGUACGGGCCGCAAGGCCAGUGGCGCAAGGGUGAGUAAGGCGACGGUAACCAACCCCAUGACUGGGUAUAGCCGCGGGAAACUGCGGGUAAUCCCCAGCGACGUCCGGGAGGGGCAUCCCUCCUUGACCAAAGCUCCGGCGUCGUGGGACGGGCUGUCGUGGUAUUAGCUUGUUGGCGGGGUAACGGCCCACCAAGGCCAUGAUGCCUACCGGGCGUGCGAGCGUGGCCCGGCACACUGGGACUGAGACACUGCCCAGACUCCUACGGGAGGCUGCAGUCGAGAAUCUUCGGCAAUGGGCGCAAGCCUGACCGAGCGACGCCGCGUGGAGGACGAAGGCCUUCGGGUUGUAAACUCCUGUCGAGGGGGAAGAAGGGCCCUUAAAAGCCUUGACUGAUCCCUGGAGGAAGCACGGGCUAAGUUCGCGCCAGCAGCCGC
rnacentral:rRNA from 1 species